rnacentral:lncRNA from 1 species
UGAGUUAAGUCGUUGACGAUUGGGUAAGAGAAUAAUUAGCAUAUUCAUGAUUUGAAUAAAGAUUUCGUUGCGUUUCUUAUGGAGGCGUAAUAAUUGUUUUUUUUUUUUUUUUUUUUUUUUGAGAGAGAUAGUUAGCACGCUAGUUGCUUCGUUUAUUUCAUUUCGAAAUAAACUUAGCUGGAAAUGUGAAUCAACUAGGAUUCGAACUUGGGUCUCGGAUACCAACCACCAAGCCCUUUGCCACUUGCUCUAGGAACUUCGUUUUUUUCAUUUCGAAUAAUAGUUGUACUCUUUCCAUGUAUAGUAGAUGUACGCAUGCUU